GUGAGUUGGCGUGUGGCUUUCGAGCCUCAAUGCAAUAGGAGGUUUGAGGAAACUCCGCCCACGCGUAGAACUGCAGCAUCCGCAAGGGUGCAUGGCGAGAGCCUUGGCAACAGAGCAGAAACGAGACGCCCGCUCAAGCAUAAGCCUAUGAUGCGCCGAUGAGGUGUUGAGGUCGCUGGGUGAGACGGUGAAACGGCUGUCCUGCAGGUGGAAAGGGCAAACAGACGCAGAUGAAGACUCUACCUGAAGCGCGGGUAGCCCGAUCAGCCAAAUGCCACAAAACUGAACAAAAGGCGGGUUACAGCCAACACAC
rnacentral:RNase_P_RNA from 1 species